ACCAGGCUUGACAUCGUGCGCAUAACCCAGAGAUGGGUGAAGCCCUUCGGGGCGCAUAGACAGGUGGUGCAUGGUUGUCGUCAGCUCGUGUCGUGAGAUGUGGUUAAGUCCCGCAACGAGCGCAACCCUUACGAGUAGUUGCUACGCAAGAGCACUCUACUAGGACUGCCGUUGACAAAACGGAGGAAGGUGGGGAUGACGUCAAAUCAUCAUGCCCCUUAUGACCUGGGCUACACACGUAAUACAAUGGCGGUCAACAGGGGGAAGCGACGCCGCGAGGCCGAGCGAAUCCUCAAAAGCCGUCUCAGUUCGGAUUGCAGGCUGCAACUCGCCUGCAUGAAGUCGGAAUUGCUAGUAAUCGCGGAUCAGCACGCCGCGGUGAAUACGUUCCCGGGCCUU
rnacentral:rRNA from 1 species